GGGGGAAAAUUAAUAAUUUAAGGAGUAAUAAAAAAAAUUUUAAUAUUAUAAUAAUUUAAUGGGGGUUAAAGUAUUUUUAAUAGAAAAAAUUUAAAUUUUUAUAGUGAAAUAGUAUUGUGAAAGAAUUUUGAAAUAUUUUGAAAAUAAAUUAAUUAAAAAGUAAAUUUAAUUUAUUGUAUCUUGGGUAUCAGAGUUUAUUAAAAAUUUUUUAUUGUUUAAUAAAUUUCUCGAAUUUAAAAGAGAUAAUUAAUUAAAAAAGUUAUUGUUGUAUAAAUAUUUUUAAUAAUUAAUUUGAAAUGAAAUGUUAAUCGUUUUUAAAUAUAUCUAGUUUUUUUAGAAUAAAAUUUAAUUUUUAAUUUUUAUUUAAAAUUAAUUAAUUAAUUUAAUUAAUUUUAAUAUAAAAUUUUAUAUUUUAGGGGAUAAGCUUUAAAUUAAAUUUUUAUAAUAAUUUUUAUUUAUUUAUUUAAAAUUUUUAUAGUUUAUAUUGUUAAUAAAUUAUAUUUUGUUAUAAAUAAUUUUAUUAAAUUUAAAAUUUAAUUUAGUAUUUAAUUUUUUAUAAAAAAAUAAAUUAUAAUUUUUUAAUAUUUAAAUAUUAUGAUAAAAUUAGUAUAUAAAUAAAAUUAAUUAAAUUAUUUAAUUUUAAUUUAAAUUAAUUUAAAGGAAUUCGGCAAAAUUUUAUAUUCACUUGUUUAUCAAAAACAUGUCUUUUUGAUAAUAAUUUAAAGUCUAAUCUGCCCACUGAUAUUAAUUAAAGGGCUGCAGUAUUUUGACUGUACAAAGGUAGCAUAAUCAUUAGUCUCUUAAUUGGUGACUUGUAUGAAAGAUUGGAUGAGAUAUAUACUGUCUUUAAUUUAUAUUAUUGAAUUUAAUUUUUUCGUUAAAAAGCUCAAAUAAAUUAAAAAGACGAGAAGACCCUAUAGAGUUUUAUAAUUUUUAAAAAUUAAUUUUAUUUAUAAAUUUUUUGAUUUUAAUUUAUGGAAAUUAUUUUAUUGGGGUGAUAAAAAAAUUAAAAAAACUUUUUUUAAAAAAUUUCAUUAAUAAGUGAUUAUAUGAUCCAAUUUUAUUGAUUAUAAGAUUAAAUUACCUUAGGGAUAACAGCGUAAUUUUUUUUUUUAGUUCAAAUAAAAAAAAAAGUUUGCGACCUCGAUGUUGGAUUAAGAUAAAAUUUAUAUGCAAAAGUAUAAAAUUUUGAUCUGUUCGAUCAUUAAAAUCUUACAUGAUCUGAGUUCAAACCGGUGUAAGCCAGGUUGGUUUCUAUCUUUUGAAAAAUAAAUAUUUUAGUACGAAAGGAUCAAAUAUUUUAAUUAAAUUAUUUAAUAAUUGAAUUUUAUUAAUUUUUAAUAAAAAAAAAUUUUUUUAAUUUAAUAAAG
rnacentral:rRNA from 1 species